CUCGUGGAUAAAAAGUCCACAGGCUCAUCAUAUAUGUGGAAGUCAUAAUCGUGACUCCCACAAAAUACAAUAGAUGUGGCUAACACAGGUCAUUAGACUUGCCGGUGAUAGCAGGUAACACAUGAAGUACCUGACUGUACCAUCAACUGCUAACAAAUGCAAUGGAACUAAACAACAUCUGACUGCUUGUCAACUGUAUUGACUGUCACAACACUGUCUGCUGUUAAUGUUGCUUCUAACUGAUGGUGCACAUGUACAUCAAAACUGAUCUAGGACUAUACAAGGGAUUGUAGCUGGUCACCUUCCUGGCUGUCACUUAUCAUCUGCAUUGACUGUAUUCAUCUGUGUGACUGUCUUCCAUUUGAAGAAGCUGAGAGCACAAACAACUAUUGUGUUAUAAACUGAUGGACUUAGUUUGCUCUCACCUGCUGCUCAUCAUCUGCAUUACAUGUAUUGUUACUGUCAUCUAUUCCACCUUUGGAUGGAGCUGACAGCAAACUCAACUAUGGUGCUACAAGCUGAUGGAGCAACUCUACCUCACUAGCUAUUUGUAAUCUGCACUGACUGUGUUCAUUCUGUGUGACAAUUGGUUGCAGCUGAUGAUGUAUGACGGUUGUAUCUAUAUGUACCAUAAACUAUGCACAACCAUUUAUAUAGCUACAUGUAGUUAUCUGCUUACCAUGUGUAUGUGGUGAACUACAUGUAUGCGGUGGACUGUCUAUGGACAAGUGUUUUCAAGAAGACAACUUUGCUGCUCAUCAGGAGGUCAUCACUUCCAUUGACUGAACCGUUAUCAACCAGUCAAAGAGGAAAUCAAAUAGGGGUCGUCCCUCAGACUGUGUCAAUCAGAGUUGUCAGCAAAGAACAUUCCAGACAGGAUUAGUGACUGAUUGAUGUUCCCUCAUGACUUUAUAAGAUCACCUACUCCCUGCUGACAUGAACGUGACUGAUACACAAUAUUGAGUUUUAGUUUACCUAAAAUGCUAUUUUUUUGCAACGAGGGCUUUAUUUUUGACAAAAAUACACUCGCCA